rnacentral:rRNA from 1 species
UACGUAGGGUGCAAGCGUUAUCCGGAAUUAUUGGGCGUAAAGAGCUCGUAGGCGGUUUGUCGCGUCUGCUGUGAAAACCGGAGGCUCAACCUCCGGCCUGCAGUGGGUACGGGCAAACUAGAGUGCGGUAGGGGGGAUUGGAAUUCCUGGUGUAGCGGUGGAAUGCGCAGAUAUCAGGAGGAACACCGGUGGCGAAGGCGGGUCUCUGGGCCGUAACUGACGCUGAGGAGCGAAAGCGUGGGGAGCGAACAGG